rnacentral:rRNA from 1 species
UACGUAGGGGGCAAGCGUUUGUCCGGAAUCAUUGGGCGUAAAGCGCGUGUAGGCGGCUGAGUAAGUCUGCUCUGAAAGCCCGGGGCUCAACCCCGGGAUGCCGGUGGAUACUGUCGAGCUCGAGUCCGGAAGAGGCGAGUGGAAUUCCUGGUGUAGCGGUGAAAUGCGUAGAUAUCGGGAGGAACACCUGUGGCGAAAGCGGCGCACUGGACCACAUCUGACGCUGAGGCGCGAAAGCUAGGGGAGCAAACAGG